GCGGCCCAGGCGCAGCCCCACCCCCGGGCGUCAGCACGUUUUCCCAGGCAGCAGCCUCCUGUGGGAGGGAGUCAGGCGUUGCGCGGCCUGAAGGAGCAACCGCCAGGAUGGAAAUGGCAGACUUUGGGAAGGAUCCCUCUGUCAGCGCAGGAGACAAGGUCAUUCCAGCAUCCAGAAACCUUCGUCAAAAUCUAUCUUUGAGGCAAAUAAAACUCUCGUCUUCCAGAAGUGAUGGACACAGAUUCCAGAAGUCUGAGUUUUGAUGAAGGAAGUUGCUGUGUCAGAGAAACGCACGUGACCAGCAACCAGCGAACUCCCACCCAGGGCCAACAGGGUAUUGAGGACCUCAGGCCAACAGGCUUUGAGGCAUGCAUCCUGCCAACAACUGAAGACAGGGAGAGACACAGAGUGUGAGCUGACGAAGGGGCAGAGAGAGAGACGGAGACACAGAAUCCCAAGCAGGCUCCAGGCUCUGGGCUGUUAGCACCGAGCCCCACGUGGGGCUCAAACUCACGGACCACGAGAUCAUGACCUGAGCCGAAGCUGGACGCUUACCCGACUGAGCCACCCAGGUGCUCCUGGAUCUUCUUAAAUUUUGUUACCUGAUAGAUGAUCAGGAAGACAAGGCCUUGGUACAUAGACAACAAGUAGAAAAAUGAAUGAUGUGGAGUUGAUACCAGGGGGCAUAUAAGCCGGAAGGAUAGGAGGAGGAGGUAAAAGGACAGAAUGCCAGACUAUAAUAUUCCUGAUGGCAGAAGUAUUCCCAGUAUUAAGAUCUACAGGGUGUCAGUAACUGCACCGGAUGGGCAGUAAAGGACUCUAAAAUGAGAUUAUGUAGAAAUUGGAACACUGGGUUAUUGGCUGAUCUAUCCACAUAGAUGUUACAACCUCCAGUACUUUGUCUUCAUGUUGCCUGCCCUGGGCCCCAUCUCACCUAUUGUCUCUCUCGGGACCUCCACAGAAUCAGACUCUGCAUUCUUUCUGCGACCUUAAUGUUCAGAUACUGCAGGGUCAAUGGCAUGAUCCUUGACAAGAAGGAUACCACAUUUGUAUCUUCUUGUUCAAAGAGGGCUUCAAUGGUUUUUUAACACUGAACAUUCACUAGGACACUCACUCCAUUUUUGAGUUCCAGCCUCAUGUGGCAUCGCCUUCCCUCCAGAGUCCUAUUGUAAGCGUGGGAGAAUCCUAUUGUAAGGGUGGAUAGGUGUGCUGUCUUGGCCAAAAAAAAAAAAAAACAAAACCAAAAAACAAAAAACAGCAUUCCGUGGAAAAGCCCCCAACUAUCUGUAUGCUGGUGCACAGUGUAGAACUCACCUCUGGUUCAUAAACUGCAGGUCUUCUGGAGGAGAUCUACCUUGGCUCCACUAAGGCCACGAAUAUCAAAGGUGGUACCUCCAUCGCAAUGGGAGAACUGUCCACACUAAAGGCAAGAUCUUGUAUAUUGCCAUCAAGUGUGGAUAGAAGGAAGGAACCAAGGUCCCCUUCUCCAAAAGGGGGUGCCAAGCUUGACAGCUUCCAGUAGGAAACCCCCAUGUCAAGUUUAACAUGACCCACACGACAGAUGCUUAAGCAGCAUCUAUGCUGUUCCUAGACCCUACCCCAACCAGCCCAAACACUCCCAUUCAGAGUUCACCCACCUGUGGGAUCCUCUGCUAACUGGAAGCCACUGUAACACUAACAGGCAAGAAGGAAACAGUGGCUUAAUCAUUAUGUUCUGAAAACUAUACCUGUCUUUGAUCCUCCUCAGAUAGAGAAGACUUACUCUAAAAGGUAUAAAUCGUUCAAUGAGGGCAGAGGAGAGAGCUGCUAAGAGGCAGGAGAACAGAGCCCAUCUCCUCAACUUUCAUCAGAGAGGAAAUGGGCUUGGACUACAUGGUCCCCCAAGAGAUCCCCCUCAACAGGCGGACUGGUCACCUUGAACCAACAUAGUACACAGAACAGACCUCACUGUUAGAGGAAUGUUUAUUGGGGAGAAUCAAAGGGAUUAUUUUGUGGGAUUCGGGCUGGGAAAUUUCCCCCUCUCGAAAUUCUGGAGAAGGGUUUUCUGUCUCAAUGAUAGACACCGAUCUCCAAAUACCAUGCCUUUAGCAGUGGUAAGAGUGGCUGGAGGCCCCUGGCCAGCUUGAUGCCUGCAGGUGCAGUGUGGGUGGGGCACAGGCUCCCUGUGGGGCACAGACGGGCGAUGGUUCUGAC